CGUACGGGGCUACGGGUGCGCUUGUUACAUGCUGAUCGGAACAAGGUAGCCCAUACGGAUUUCAGCCUUAGAUUCUUCACGAGGAGAGGCUCAGAACAUUCCAGCGUACUUGGAUGGGGGGUAUAUCCUCUCGAAAGAGAGAUUAACACCGCAUAAAAUCACACUUCGGCAUCGAAGAAUGAUCAAAUAUUUAUAGGAUUAAGAUGGGCAUGCGUGACAUUAGUUCGUUGGUGAGGUAACGGCUCACCAAGACUACGAUGUCUAGGGGAUCUGAGAGGAUGACCCCCCACACUGGUACUGAGACACGGACCAGAUUUAUACGGGAGGCAGCAGUAAGGAAUAUUGGUCAAUGGGGGCAACCCUGAACCAGCCAUGCCGCGUGCAGGAAGACGGCCCUACGGGUUGUAAACUGCUUUUAUA
rnacentral:rRNA from 1 species